UCAUCUGUAACACUUCCCACCCAGCACCAGACGUCAUUUGGACGUCGUUUUCUGGUCUAAAUCAAGUCGGCCCGUCAUGGCCAUCUUUUAGACCAAAAAGCGACGUUGAAAAUUGGUCUUCAUUUGGUCCGUCGGAUUUGGUCCAAAUUAAGCCCAAAAAGCGACGUUGAAAAUUGGUCUUCGUUUGGUCCGUCGGAUUUGGUCCAAAUUAAGCCCAAAAAGCGACAUUUAACGUCUUUUUUUUUUUUUAAUUUAGCCCAAAAAUAGAUGUAAAUGGGCUUUAGUCCAAAUUUAGCAGAAAAAAAAACUUUUAUUUCGCACCACAAAGCCAUUAACAUAAACCAGUGAAGAAAUUAGACAUCAUGUCUGAUCUCACUGUUAAAUAUAUUUAAAUAUAUUUUGAAAACACUUGAUGGUCACGCGCUGUACUGGAGUCACCAUGGAAACGGGGCUCAGCUCAACCGUCAAGCAGCCGAACAGACGCUGUCUCUCAUGGUUGUUUUCACUAAUUUCAGUUUAUAGAAAUGGUCAGUGUCUUCAUGAAAAGUCCGUUAGCAUCUCAACUGUAAUGCUAACUACAAGAGAUUCUUCCAUGCUGAUGGCCGUGCCUGUAUCCAGCUGAAGAACAUUUUUAGACAUUAUGAAACAUAUAACUAAGACUGAAAAUCAUUGAUAAACCACAAGCUCCAACCCCAGUUAAGCAGACCUGAGCACUGAUCAAGGAUCAGCAGAAACUCUGCAGAACGGUGGUCCUCCAGCCCAGGACUGGACACCAGUGUUAUGCUGCAGAAAAAAGAGCGAGGCUAAAGCAUUCAAAGUGGAAACAUCUGCCGUGGCUCAUUAAUCCAGAAUUGGGAUGGAGGAAGGAGCAGAAGAAGCAGAAGAUCAGAGAUCAGGCAGAGAUCUACUGGUGCCCCUGUGGGAACCCCAUUUACCUAAUGUGUUAGUUUAACCAAAGAUUUUCCUCACUCACCUUUAUGUUGUUCCAAACCAGACUUUUGUUCAUCCUUGAAACAUAAAUGCGGAACUUUUUAAUGAAAUCUGAGAUUAUUUUCUUUAUAUAAAAUAACACAUUCACACAAGCACCAUGAUGCAUCAGUGUUGCAUUGGCGUGAGAGCUGGCGCUUUUGGUGCUUUUGUGAAAAUCCAUUGGGGAGUCAUAAUUUCUGAAUAGAUUAUUUUUGCUGUUGUUAUUGUUUGUUUGUUUGUUUUUGUACACAAGGCAUCUGAUAAAAAAAUAUCUUAAUUUGUGUUCUGCACAAAAGGGUGUUAUGGGUUUGGGGCAACAUGAGGGUAAGUAAUUAAUGACAGAAUUAAAAUUUUUGGUUGUUCUAAUGUGGUUAUAAUUGGUCAUAGUUUAUUUGUCUUGAAAAAAUAUAUUUAUACAGAAACAUGGAUUAAUUUGAUAAGUUUAUAGUAAAGCCUUUUAAAUUGAUAAAAAAAAAAAA